GACGGGGCCCGCACAAGCGGAGGAACAUGUGGUUUAAUUCGAUGAUACGCGAGGAACCUUACCUGGGCUUAAAUGGGAGUGACAGCUGUCGAAAGAUGGUUUUCUUCGGACACUCUUCAAGGUGCUGCAUGGUUGUCGUCAGCUCGUGCCGUGAGGUGUCGGGUUAAGUCCCAUAACGAGCGCAACCCUUACCGUUAGUUACCAUCAGGUUAAGCUGGGGACUCUAGCGGGACUGCCACCGUAAGGUGAGAGGAAGGUGGGGAUGACGUCAAAUCAGCACGGCCCUUAUGUCCAGGGCUACACACGUGUUACAAUGGGCGGUACAAAGGGUAGCGAUGCCGCGAGGUGAAGCCAAUCCCAAAAAGCCGUCCACAGUUCGGAUUGGAGUCUGCAACUCGACUCCAUGAAGCCGGAAUCGCUAGUAAUCGUGGAUCAGCAUGCCACGGUGAAUACGUUCCCGGGCCUU
rnacentral:rRNA from 1 species